UCGUUUUUUGUGUUCUGUCUCUCUCCCCUCCUCAGUUCUCAACCAAAGCUUAUCCUCUCCUUCUUUUUUUGUGUUCUGUAUCUCUCCCCUCCUUAGUUCUCAUUGACCUCAGUACCUCACUACUCAGCCACUAGGUCGUGGAUGUCUAUUAAUUUCUGGGAUUCUGCCAUUCUGGGAACUGGGAAAAUUGGAGGAGGAGUAGUGAGCAAACUCAGAGUCUUAUCUGAGUCUUUGGUCUUCAAGGAAUCAGGUUCGAAAUUGCAAAUUGAUUUGCUUGAAUUUUCUCGGAAAGUUGCAUCGUUUUGUACUUGUGUUAAAAUUUAGAAGCAUGACUCCUAAAAUAAAAUGUUUAUCCGGACAUGCAAAACGUUUAAAGAAGAAAAAAGAUGCAGAGCUGGUUCAAUCUUUAAGGGGAAGCCUUGAUAGGUUCAUUACUAGAGAACCAGAAGCUUUGGGUGAAGAUUUAGUUAAUGAAGAGGCAUAAGAGCACAAUGAGAGGGAAGAUAAUGUGGAAGAGCACACUAAUGAACACUGCUAGAAUGUGUUAUUUUGAGGGUUUGAGAUCAAGUAUCUUUUUGUAAUUAUUUUUUGCUGCAAACUUUAUGUUUGUAUUGAAUAUUUAGCCUCUUUUGUAGGCUCUUCUAAUGAUAUUGAUCAAUCAUUUUUGGUUA